rnacentral:rRNA from 1 species
GAUGAACGCUGGCGGCGUGCCUAAUACAUGCAAGUCGAGCGAAUGGAUUAAGAGCUUGCUCUUAUGAAGUUAGCGGCGGACGGGUGAGUAACACGUGGGUAACCUGCCCAUAAGACUGGGAUAACUCCGGGAAACCGGGGCUAAUACCGGAUAACAUUUUGAACCGCAUGGUUCGAAAUUGAAAGGCGGCUUCGGCUGUCACUUAUGGAUGGACCCGCGUCGCAUUAGCUAGUUGGUGAGGUAACGGCUCACCAAGGCAACGAUGCGUAGCCGACAUGAGAGGGUGAUCGGCCACACUGGGACUGAGACACGGACCAGACUCCUACGGGAGGAAGCAGUAGGGAAUCUUCCGCAAUGGACGAAAGUCUGACGGAGCAACGCCGCGUGAGUGAUGAAGGCUUUCGGGUCGUAAAACUCUGUUGUUAGGGAAGAACAAGUGCUAGUUGAAUAAGCUGGCACCUUGACGGUACCUAACCAGAAAGCCACGGCUAACUACGUGCCAGCCGCCGCCGUAA